UACGUAGGGUGCGAGCGUUAAUCGGAAUUACUGGGCGUAAAGCGUGCGCAGGCGGUUUUGUAAGCCAGAUGUGAAAUCCCCGGGCUUAACCUGGGAAUGGCAUUUGGGACUGCAAGGCUGGAGUGUGGCAGAGGAGACUGGAAUUCCUGGUGUAGCAGUGAAAUGCGUAGAUAUCAGGAGGAAUACCGAUGGCGAAGGCAGGUCUCUGGGCCAAUACUGACGCUCAUGCACGAAAGCGUGGGGAGCAAACAGG
rnacentral:rRNA from 1 species